rnacentral:lncRNA from 1 species
AUGUAGUUCAUGGUAGAAAAUAGGAUUUGUUGGUUAUUUUUAGGGAACAGUUAUAAUCGUAUCCUAGAAGUGUGUAGACAUUAGCUGAUUCUGAUCACUGAUUGAAUGCUCUAAACCUUUAGUCUGACUACUAAGGAACGAAUUAUAAUAGUUCUUUUAUGAAAAGAAAAGUUGUUUGAAUUUGAAAAGGUUUGUGUGAUAAAAGGAAAAAAGAAAGAAUUGUUUGAAUUGAAUUAAAAGGAAAAA